AAAGACCGGAAGUACUUGUACAUGUUGUUGGAGGUUUGUCUGGGUGGGGAAUUGUGGACCGUUCUCCGUGACAAGGGUUCGUUCGAUGACGCCACCACCAGGUUCUACACGGGUUGUGUUAUAGAGGCGUUCGCCUACCUCCACAACAAGGGCAUUGUUUACAGAGAUCUCAAACCAGAAAACUUACUUCUGGAUUCUCAGGGAUAUGUGAAACUGGUUGAUUUUGGUUUCGCCAAAAAAGUUGGUCUGGGCCGGAAGACGUGGACGUUCUGUGGGACGCCGGAGUACGUGGCCCCGGAAAUCAUCCUCAACAAGGGCCACGACAUCUCUGCCGACUUCUGGUCCCUGGGCAUCCUGAUGUUUGAGCUCCUCACUGGCAGUCCACCAUUUUCAGGACAAGAUCCAAUGAAAACUUACAACAUUAUCUUAAAGGGCAUUGAUGCCAUUGAUUUUUCGCGGAAAAUCAGUAAAAACGCCCAGAAUUUGAUCAAAAAGCUGUGCCGUGAGACGCCCUCCGAUAGACUGGGAUUCGGUAGGGGCGGGAUUCGCGAGAUCCAGAAACACAAAUGGUUCGAGGGCUUUAAUUGGGACGGGCUUAAAAAGAGAACAUUAAAACCUCCCAUUACACCUCAAGUCAAGUCUGCAACAGAUACCUCUAAUUUUGAUGAUUACCCAGACGAAGAAGAUGACCCUCCGCCGGAUGACGUCACGGGAUGGGAUAGAGACUUCUGAUGACGUUAUGAUCAAAUGAGUAGUUUUAAAAACUGUCUUUCGUGAAAUCCCUCGACUGUCGUGGAGCUACAACAGCGAACAAGCAACACAGGUCGCAUUCAAUAUGCAACGUUCAGGGCUUUCAUAGAACUGGCGAUCAGUGACGUCACACAAGUUCGUCCGUGUCCAGCUGAUUACAAAGUGUUGUUUACAAAGAUCUGUGAUGAAGAGAGGAUACUGACAACUUUUAUACAUGUAUAGUAUUUUUAUAUCUCGAUUGCUACUGAUGUGCCUUUUUAUGCAAAAGUAGACUGAUCUGUUUUUGAGUAAUUAGAGAGAAUUGUCUGAUCUUACUGAAAUGAUAGGUAAGCAGGCAUACAGAUUGCAGAGUUACCUGUCAUCUCAUGCGUGUAUUCAUGAUUCACAUUACCGUCAUAUCGACCACAUUAAAUAAAGGUGACUACAUUUUGU
rnacentral:misc_RNA from 1 species